AUUCAAUUUUCGGGGGACAUCCAAUAAAAUUGCAACAAUACAGGGAAGGUUAGCACGGCCGCUGCGCAAGGAUGACACGCACAAAUCUUAUAUUUUCAUGUGUAUU
rnacentral:snRNA from 1 species